rnacentral:rRNA from 1 species
UACGAAGGGUGCAAACGUUGCUCGGAAUUAUUGGGCGUAAAGCGCACGUAGGCGGCUCAACAAGUCGGAUGUGAAAUCCCUCGGCUCAACCAAGGAAGUGCAUCCGAAACUGUAGAGCUUGAGUACGAAAGAGGAUCGCGGAAUUCCCGGUGUAGAGGUGAAAUUCGUAGAUAUCGGGAGGAACACCAGUGGCGAAGGCGGUGGCCUGGACCGGUGCUGACGCUGAGGCGCGAAGGCGUGGGGAGCGAUCCGG